rnacentral:rRNA from 1 species
AGUGAACGCUGGCGGCGUGCUUAACACAUGCAAGUCGAACGAGAACGGAUUAUAGCUUGCUAUAAUUGUCAGCUAAGUGGCGCACGGGUGAGUAAUGUAUAGGUAAUAUGCCUCUUACUAAGGGAUAACAAAUGGAAACGUUUGCUAAUACCUUAUACUCCUUAUUAACAUAAGUUAAUAAGGGAAAGAUUUAUUGGUAAGAGAUUAGCCUGUAUUGUAUCAGUUAGUUGGUGGGGUAAUGGCUUACCAAGACUAUGACACAUAACUGGGUGGAGGGGAUCAUCAGGCACAGUGGAACUGAGAAACGGUCCAGACUCCUACGGGAGGCAGCAGUGGGGAAUAUUGCACAAUGGACGAAAGUCUGAUGCAGCAACGCCGCGUGGAGGAUGACACAUUUCGGUGCGUAAACUCCUUUUAUAUGAGAAGAUAAUGACGGUAUUAUAUGAAUAAGCACCGGCUAACUCCGUGCCAGCAGCCGCCGUAAAAC